rnacentral:rRNA from 1 species
AAAUUGAAGAGUUUGAUCAUGGCUCAGAUUGAACGCUGGCGGCAGGCCUAACACAUGCAAGUCGAACGGUAACAGGAAGCAGCUUGCUGCUUUGCUGACGAGUGGCGGACGGGUGAGUAAUGUCUGGGAAACUGCCUGAUGGAGGGGGAUAACUACUGGAAACGGUGGCUAAUACCGCAUAACGUCGCAAGACCAAAGAGGGGGACCUUCGGGCCUCUUGCCAUCAGAUGUGCCCAGAUGGGAUUAGCUUGUUGGUGAGGUAACGGCUCACCAAGGCGACGAUCCCUAGCUGGUCUGAGAGGAUGACCAGCCACACUGGAACUGAGACACGGUCCAGACUCCUACGGGAGGCAGCAGUGGGGAAUAUUGCACAAUGGGCGCAAGCCUGAUGCAGCCAUGCCGCGUGUAUGAAGAAGGCCUUCGGGUUGUAAAGUACUUUCAGCGGGGAGGAAGGUGUUGUGGUUAAUAACCGCAGCAAUUGACGUUACCCGCAGAAGAAGCACCGGCUAACUCCGUGCCAGCAGCCGCGGUAAUACGGAGGGUGCAAGCGUUAAUCGGAAUUACUGGGCGUAAAGCGCACGCAGGCGGUCUGUCAAGUCGGAUGUGAAAUCCCCGGGCUCAACCUGGGAACUGCAUUCGAAACUGGCAGGCUUGAGUCUUGUAGAGGGGGGUAGAAUUCCAGGUGUAGCGGUGAAAUGCGUAGAGAUCUGGAGGAAUACCGGUGGCGAAGGCGGCCCCCUGGACAAAGACUGACGCUCAGGUGCGAAAGCGUGGGGAGCAAACAGGAUUAGAUACCCUGGUAGUCCACGCCGUAAACGAUGUCUACUUGGAGGUUGUGCCCUUGAGGCGUGGCUUCCGGAGCUAACGCGUUAAGUAGACCGCCUGGGGAGUACGGCCGCAAGGUUAAAACUCAAAUGAAUUGACGGGGGCCCGCACAAGCGGUGGAGCAUGUGGUUUAAUUCGAUGCAACGCGAAGAACCUUACCUGGUCUUGACAUCCACGGAAGUUUCCAGAGAUGGAUUGGUGCCUUCGGGAACCGUGAGACAGGUGCUGCAUGGCUGUCGUCAGCUCGUGUUGUGAAAUGUUGGGUUAAGUCCCGCAACGAGCGCAACCCUUAUCCUUUGUUGCCAGCGAUUCGGUCGGGAACUCAAAGGAGACUGCCAGUGAUAAACUGGAGGAAGGUGGGGAUGACGUCAAGUCAUCAUGGCCCUUACGACCAGGGCUACACACGUGCUACAAUGGCGCAUACAAAGAGAAGCGACCUCGCGAGAGCAAGCGGACCUCAUAAAGUGCGUCGUAGUCCGGAUUGGAGUCUGCAACUCGACUCCAUGAAGUCGGAAUCGCUAGUAAUCGUGGAUCAGAAUGCCACGGUGAAUACGUUCCCGGGCCUUGUACACACCGCCCGUCACACCAUGGGAGUGGGUUGCAAAAGAAGUAGGUAGCUUAACCUUCGGGAGGGCGCUUACCACUUUGUGAUUCAUGACUGGGGUGAAGUCGUAACAAGGUAACCGUAGGGGAACCUGCGGUUGGAUCACCUCCUUACCUGAAAGAAGC